rnacentral:rRNA from 1 species
UACGUAGGGGGCAAGCGUUGUCCGGAUUUAUUGGGCGUAAAGAGCUCGUAGGCGGUCCGUCACGUCCGCUGUGAAAACCCAGGGCUCAACCCUGGGCUUGCAGUGGAUACGGGCAGACUAGAGGUAGGUAGGGGAGAAUGGAAUUCCCGGUGUAGCGGUGAAAUGCGCAGAUAUCGGGAGGAACACCGGUGGCGAAGGCGGUUCUCUGGGCCUUACCUGACGCUGAGGAGCGAAAGCGUGGGGAGCGAACAGG